UCUGUGUAAACAAAGAAUGAACUCAUAGUUGGGCGCAUGAGUAAGGUGCAGGAGAGCUACACCUACUGAAAACUGGAAAAUAGUUGGUCCCUGAACGUUAUCAUGAUGUCAAAGGUUGCAGAAUUCAUCGAGGCUUCAAAAGCACCAGAGGUACACUCAGAAGCAACCUUCGUGCUCCGGGAUCUGUGUUUCAAAAACGCUCACGUCCAUAGUUCCUUCAAAGUUGCCACACAAGUUGGUGAGUGAGGACAGUGUGUAGUGCUGUGGCUAUGGCAUCAUCAGUAAACUGGUCCCAUUGUUCGGCGAAUUGUAAAGGUUCCAGUGUGGGUGGUGGCAUGCUGCAGAUGUAGUCUUUAACCAGCUGCUCAAAGCAUUUGCUUAUUAUUGAGGACUUGCAUGACUGACAGUAGUGAAAACCAAGAGGAGGUUACAGACAUGAUGAAGGAAGCCCUGGACACCACCAGAGAUGGAGGACCUUUGUUGCUGCCAUAAACAUCAACGAUGUAAUGGACAGUAAGCAAGUAAAUAGUCACAGGACCAAUUAACCUACUAACUGAUCUGUCUUUGGACUUUGAAAGGAAACCAGAGCACCCAGAGGAAACCCAUGCAGUCCACAGUGAGAACAUACAAACUCCUUACAGACAGUGCCGGAAUUGAACUCUGAACUCCAACCCCCCCAAGCUGUAAUAGUGUCAGACUAACUGCUGAGCUACCGUGCCACCCUAGGGUAAGUUGAAGGUACUCCAUUUCCCUCUAAUAUAUUGCAAGUGGAAUCUCAUGACCAUGCAAUUUGGACAGGAUCAUGAGUACAAUUAAGCACUGAUAUUCACUCAACAGCCACUGAAUGUUUGUUCAUGGUCUUCUGUAGUUCAUCCACUUCAAGGUUCAAAAUGUCAUGUGUUCAGAGAUCCACUUCUGCACACUAUUGUUGUAAUAUGUGGUUAUAUGAGUUGCUGUUGCCUUCCUGUCAGCCUGAACCUGCCUGGCCAUUCUUCUCCAAACUCUCUCAUUAACAAGGUAUUUUCACCCACAGAACUGCCACUCAUUGGUUAUUUUUUGUUUUUCACACCAUUCUCUGUAAACUCUUCUAGACACCGUUGUGUGUGAAAACCCCAGGAGAUCAGUAGUUUCUGAAAUACCCAAACCACCUCGCCUGGCACCAACAAUCAGUCCAUGGUCAACAUCACUUAGGUCACAUUUCUUCCCCAUUCUGAUGUUCAGUCUGAGCAACAACUGAACCUCUUGACCACAUCUGCAUGCUUUUAUGCUUUGAGUUACCGCCACAUGAUUGGUUGUUUAGGUAUUUGCGUUAAUGAGCAGGUGUGCAGGUGUACCUAAUAAAGUGGCCACUUUGAGAGUGAAGAUUCUAAAGUGCAACAUCUCAGACAAAAGCCCAAUUAAAAUUUAUUAUCAAAGUACUUAACUGAAAAAAGAAACACCAUAGAAUUUAUGAAAAGCUGUCAAUUAACAAAGACUGGUAAACAACUAAUGUGCAAAAGAAGGCAAUUCUGCAAAUUGAACAAUAUACCGAGAAGAUGGGUUGCAGAGGCUGGAAAAUGAGCCUCAAUUGUGGUAUCAGUUCUACGUAACAGCAUAAAGAGAAACUAUUACUGAGGUAGUACAGAACAUGGAGCAUAGACCGGUACAGCACAGGCGCAGACCCUAUAAAUUAGUUAUCAAAUGGCUGAUUACUUCUGCUUACACAAUAUCCAUAUCUUCCCAUUUCUUCACAUUUAUUUGCCUGUCUAAACAUCUCUUAAAAGUCCCUAAUCUUUCUGCCUCUUCCACCACUGCAUUUUAGGCACACACCACACUCCAUGUAAAAAAAACUUGCCCCUCAUGUCUCCUUUGAAAUUAACCCCUCUCACCUCAAAUACAUACCCUCUGGUAUUAGACAUCUCAACCCCUGCAAAAAGAUUCUGUCAUCUACCCUAUCUACGGCUCUCAUAAUCUUAUAGACGUGGUGAGGUCCUACAAGAUCCUGGGGGUGUACCUGGUUGACAGACUUAAGUGGAGCACCAACACAGAGGCUGUGUACAAGAAGGGCCAGAGUCGCCUCUACUUCCUGAGGUCCUUUGGAGCAUGCAGGCCUCUCCUUCACAUGUUCUACCAGUCUGUCGUCGCCAGUACAAUCUUCUGUGCAGUGGUGUGCUGGGGCAAUGGCAUCAACACGGGUGAUGCUAACAGGCUGAUAAACUGACUAGAAAGGCUGCCUUGUUAUAGGAGUCAAGCUGGACACACUGGAGGCCGUGGAAGUGAUGACCCUCUUCCUUCUGUAAGACUGUUUGAGGUAACUCAUUAUUCAUUCUUUCUUACUCCUCUUCUAAUAUUUGUGUAUCUGUGCACUUGAAAUGCUACUGUGACACAAUCAUUUCCUUUGGGAUCAAUAAAGUAUCUAAAUAUCCAUCAGAUUUCCCCUCAACCUCCACUGCUCUAAAGAAAACAACCCAAGUUUGUCCAACUUCUUGUUAUAGCACACGCCCUCUAAACCAGGCAGCAUCCUGGUGAACCUCUUCUGCACCCUCUCCAAAGCCUCAACGUCCUUCUUACAAAGGGGAGAACAAAACUAUAUGUAAUACUCCAGAUGAGGUCUAACUAGAGUUUUAUAAAGCUGCAACAUAAUUUCCUCACUUUUGAUUGCAAUGCUUUGACUAAUAAACAAGAGGGAAAGUUGUGAAGAUGACAAAAAUGUCAGUAAACAUCUCUUGUUCUAAAGAGCAGUGGAAACCUGGAGCUCUCUGCAUUUUCUCAUCAAUGGCUAGUGGUUCAACUGAAAAAUCCAGAACCUCUACUGACAGAUUUUUGUUAGCUGAUGGACUAGGACAGAAGACACCACCAAGGAUAAAUAGAGUCAAAAAUGUAUACCUCAUUGAAUGACUAAAUGUUAAAUAGCCUCAUUCCCGUGUUGUUUCCCAUCUUCUUAGAUCAGGGCUCUGGACCUGUACUCGAUGGAGUUCAGAAGGAUGACGGGGGCAUCUCAUUUUCAUUGGGUGGAUUUAAGGCAGAGAUUAAUGGAGUCUGGAGGGGUUUCUUAAGGUUGAUAAAGGGUUCCAGCUCCCACUGCUUAUCACAUGCUCUCAAUGGUGUGAGCCUCAAAUAGUCUCUGAUAACCAAGUCCAGCUCCUGACCUUCAUGUGUGGCUUAGCAGCUAAGCUUAGAAGAACCAUUUCUACCAAUGGGAGAAGGGAAAAGCCGGGUUACUGGUGCCUUAAAACCAGUUGCUUCAGGCACAGUUGGCAGCUCAUCUGGGAGAAGGAAAACUCUGAUCUCAAACCUCUGCUGCCUUGCGGCGAUACCCACUCAUGGGAAAAGCUUCAGGUGUAAACACCGAGGGAAAAAUCCAGAGCUGGAGUCCCUACGGCAGUCUUACAUGGAUCAAUCCUGACUGGCAACUCCUGCGGCAUUGCUGGUGCCAAAUCUGUAUCAGUCUCUGCCGUUCUAUUGCGUUCACCAGAUGAGUGGAGAAGGGGAGCUUGGUACACAGGCAACAGCUUGUACUGCCCUGGACUGUGUAUCUAGACAGCUAGGACACAACAUCCAUGGUCAACCCUGAGCAACAGAGGCUUCAGUUAGGGGCUAAAAGGCUAUGAGGAGAAGAAGGGAGAACGGAGUUAAGAAAAACAAAUCAGUUGUGAUAGAAUUGCCAGAGCAGAUUUGAUGGGCUGAAUGGCAACACUGUACCCCUAUAAUCUUUUAGUCUUAAGGUCUAUAUUUGGCUUUUUGUUCCUGUAUUAGAAUUGAUCUAGUCUGACUCCUUUUAUGUCUUCUUGUUUUUGGGUUUCUAAGCAACUCGCUUUAGGAAAUUUCAGUCCAUGGCUUUCUCUUGUGCCAAGAUGAGACCAUCCUCAGGGUGGAGAAGCAACAACUUGAAUUCCAUAUAUAAUCCUUAUAUUUCUCCUUCUGGUAAACUAAUUCCCCCCUCACCCUUUCUCUGUUCCCGACUCUGACCUUUUACACCUUCUCACCUGCUAUUACUCCCCCCAGAUCCCCUCCUCCUUCCCUCUCCCCUAUGGUCCUUUCUCCUCUCCUAUCAGAUUCCUUCCUCUCCAGCCCUUUAUCUUUCCCACCCACCUAGCUUCACCUAUCACCUUCUAGCUAGCCUUCUUCCCCUCCCCCCCCCCACCUUUUGCUCCCCUUUCCUCCUCAGCCCUGAAGAAGGGUCAUGGCCCAAAAUGUCAACUGCUUAUUCAUUUCCAAAGAUGCUACCUGACACACUGAGUUCCUGCAACAUUUUGUGAUUUUGUGUGUGUGCUCCCUUGGGAAAUGUUGCAAAAGGAAUAUAGAGCUCACAACAUCCUCCAGCACAGGAAUAAGCCCUUUGCCCCAUGACGUCUGUAAAUUAUAAAGACUGUCAAAGGAUGAAAGUGACAUUUUGGCAGGGAAGUCCAAAGCUUAGGUUUCAGGGAACUGAGAAAUAGCAACUAAUGACUGAAUAAAAAAUCAUAGAGUCAUGGAGAAUGGAAACAGGUCCUUCAAACCCACUCGAUACCAAUACUUAUUUACAUUUCUCUCACUUUAUUCUUCACACACAUUCCUGUCCUCUCUCCCCACUCACCUACACACCAGAGGUAAUUUACGGUGGUGACCAGUUCACCUACCACCAUGAACGUCGUUGGGAAGCAGGAAACUGAAGCACCUGUACAAGACAUACAGCAAUAUAUAUCAGCUGGUUGAGUGGUGUUGCAGUAAUAACCUUGCACUCAGUGUUAAUAAGACCAAAGAACUGAUUGUGGACUUCAGAAAGAGUAAGACAAGGGGACACAUGCCAGUCCUCAUAGGGGGAUCAGAAGUGGAAAGAGUGGACAGUUUCGAGUAUCUGGGUCUGAGUAUCUCUGAGGAUCUAUCCUGGGCCCAACAUAUUGAUACAGCUGCAAAGAAGGCUCAACAGUGGCUAUAUUUCAUUCGGGGUUUGAGGAGAUUUGGUGUGUCUCCAAAGACACUCAUGAAUUUCUACAGAUGUACCAUGGAGUAACUGGCUGUACCACCAUCUGGUAUGGGGGGAGAGGGCCACUGCACAGGAUCGAAAUAAGCUGCAGAAAGUUGUAAACUCAGUCAGCUCCAUCAUGGAUUCUAGCCUCCAUUGUAUCCAGGACAUCUUCAAGGAGCGAUGGUGGCGUCCAUCAUUAAGGUCACCAAGGUCGUACCUCACUCCCACUGGUACCAUCAGGGAGAAGGUACAGGAGCCUGAAGACAAACACUCAAUGAUGAGGGAGCAGCUUCCUCUCCUCUGCCAUCAGAUUUCUGAAUGGAUAUUGAAUAUAUGAACACUACUUCACUACUUUUUUAUUUCUAAUUCUGCACAACUUAUUUCAUUAAACUUUAAAAAUAUAUAUAUGCUUACUGUAAUCUGUGUUUUUUUCUAAAAUAUUGCUGCCGCAAAGACAACCAAUUUCAUGAUGUGUACUGGUGAUAUUAAACCUGAUUCUGAUACUGACCUGGAUGCAAUCAGGUUCAGGGAGGACGUACAAAUUCCUAACGGCAGCACCGGUGGCCGGGAUCAAAACCUGGCCACUGGGACUGUGAGGCAGCAACUCGACUAGCUUCAUCUGUACGUCGCCCGUGAGAGCGGCGGUUCAGAACAGAAUUAGAAGCAGGUGCAGGUCUCAGAGAAGUGUUCAAGACGGAGUACGGUGUGCUGGCAUUCAUUAGUCAGUGUGGGGGUGGGAUUGAGCCUUGAGGUAAUGUUGCAGUUCUAUAAA